CAUUAUCUUCUCAACAUCAUGCCUUGAACUAUUCACAUGAAUGUUGUGCAUCUCUCUCACAUUUCUCUCUUGCUCAUGACAAGAAAGGAGCCGGCCAUGACUUGAAAUUCGGCCAGCCCCUCCUCUUCAUUUCCUUCUCUUGCAAGCCUUGCCUCCCAACUACCCCAACAAAUAAAUGGGCAGCCACCCACCUUAGCCAAUCAAAAUGGAGGCAGCCACCAUCCUCCCUCUAUAUAAGAGCUUGGCUUGCCACCUCCACUCCCCUUGGCUCAUUUCUUUCACACUCCACUCCCUCAUACCUUCCUCCCCCUUCCUCCCCACGAGUUGCUGCUCCUCCUUAGCUCCAUGGCCGGCCAUGGCCAUGGAAAGCCACCAAGAUGGAGCUCCCCUCCUUCCUCAAGCUUAUUCUCACCAUGAGAGCAUCUCUCUCACUCUCUUCUCCCCUAACCUUUGAUUGAAUCCAGCUCCCUUUCUCUUCUCCCCUCUCACAAGAUUGGAUCUUGAUGCAGGUGCAUGUUGGUCUAAGCAUGGAGAAGGUUGAGCUAUCCUCAGAUCUGAAGUUCUUGAGCAAAAUCCAAAUCGAGUGAUUCAAAGUUCCGCAGAUAGGUAUUGAAAAUAUCUACAACUUCGCGUUGGUCUCAUCCUCAAAUUCGUUACGGAUUUUGCAUGAUCAAGAUCUGGUCAGAUCUGACUUUGUCGAAUUAAACCAGGAGCUUGGAAACGAAUUUUUGAAUGAAACCAAUUGGAUAAGAACCACCUAUUCAAUAACUUUCAGAUG